CCGGUAAAUGUACAUAGGACUGAUCUAUUUUUUUCUUUUCUCCAAAUUCUCAGUGUACGCUAUACCGCUGCCCUCACGAGUUUAUACAUUUUGUUUAUUCUAAUGACAGAUCGUAUUUCAGCCUGUCCUAUAUUUGUUGAUGCUGAUGCUUGCAGUUUUGCCUGUUCUUUGUGUUCGUGACAUACAGCGAAGAUUGUAAGAAUUUGUCGCUGUGUGUAAGAUAAACCAUACCAACACUGAACACUGGUGAAGAUGGUCCUUUGACACAACUCGUCACGAAUACAGAACGUAUCUGGCACUAUCAGAAUAAUGCAUUUUAUUUGAGGGAAAGAAGACUAUUCUCGGGUGUGUCGUCUGUCAGUUCGAGUCUAGCAACUGCUAAUAGUGAGCCGUACUGCGCUUUCCACCGCUCCAAAGGACACCUCACAAAAGAUUGCAGAGGUGUACAGCCUGACCCUGGUAAGGCCAUAUGUGACCUUCCUACACCCACCAACUCACAGCAGGUAAGAAGGAUUAUGGGUGCUGCUGGAUAUUUCCGCAGGCAUAUCAAAGAUCACUCUAAAAUAACUGCUCCACUUUCUGAUUUAACUAAGAAGAAUGCCAAGUUUGUAUGGAAGCCAGAACAUGAAAGGGCUUUAGUUAGUUUAAACGUCCUAAUUUUGACUUGCUGUUCGAAAUCCACACAGAUGCAAGUCAGCGAGCCACUGGUGCUUGUUUGAUCCAAAAGCAUGAUGGACAGCCUCACCCAGUUUCUUCUUACAGUCGCAAACUUAGAGGUGCAGAGUUUCGUUAUUCAGCGACUGAGUUGGAGGCUUUAGCUGUUGUUGAAGCUAUUAAAGCAUUUCAUCCAUAUGUAUAUGGCCAUAAAUUUCAUGUCUAUACGGAUCAUAAGCCAUUAAUCUAUAUUUUUAAACGUCCAACUAAAUCAGCUAGAAUGACCCGCUGGAGUCAUGAAAUAAUGAGUUAUGAUUGUAUAGUCUUCUAUAAAG